rnacentral:rRNA from 1 species
UACGAAGGGGGCUAGCGUUGUUCGGAAUCACUGGGCGUAAAGGGCGCGUAGGCGGCGCGACAAGUCAGGCGUGAAAGCCCCGGGCUCAACCCGGGAAUUGCGCUUGAUACUGUCGUGCUUGAGGCCGGGAGAGGAUGGCGGAAUUCCCAGUGUAGAGGUGAAAUUCGUAGAUAUUGGGAAGAAACACCGAUGGCGAAGGCAGCCAUCUGGACCGACACUGACGCUGAGGCGCGAAAGCGUGGGGAGCAAACA